rnacentral:rRNA from 1 species
AUGGCAGAGUUCGCGCUUGGUCUGACCAAGACGGCGGUGGAGGGGACGCUGAGCAGGGUGAAGUCGGCGAUCGAGGAGGAGGGGAAGCAGAGGGCGCGUGUGCAGGAGGACCUCAUGUUCAUCACGAGCGAGUUUGAGAUGAUGCAGGCCUUCCUGAGCGCCUCCAGCGCGGGGGAACGUGCAUCCAACAACCUGGUGGCGUGGGCGUGGGUGAGGCAGCUCCGCCGCCUCGCCUUCGAUGUGGAGGACUGCGUCGAGUUCGUGGUCCACCUUGACGAGCCGUCGCCGUGGGACUGGGUGCAGCGCCUCGCCUCGUCCCUCCCCUGCCUUGCCAGGCCGCCGCUGCCCCUUGACGAGGCGGUGGCGGAGAUAAAGCGGCUCAAGGCGAGGGUGGAGGAGGUAAGCCAGAGGAACACGCGCUACAACAUCAUGGCUGGCGGUGGCGACAACGGCGAUGAAAAUAAGCAGAUGAUAAAGCGCCCUGCUGCUGGGGGUCAUACUCAUACAUCGGCACCAGGAGCCGAGGCAUUCCACGUCCUAAGGGAUGUGUGGAAGGCCAUGGGAAAGGCUCACGAGGCCACCGUCGAUCUGAAAAGGUUGAUCGAUUGCCAAGGAAGUGAGCUCAAAGUGAUCUCUCUAUGGGGAAGUCCGGAGGCUGAUGUUGCUGGUGAACUUGAGUGGGCGAGUAGUUUUGUGAAGAAUGCCUACGUUGACCCAGAAAUCUGCCAACAAUUCAAGAAUCGUGCAUGUGUAAAGCUGGCCAGUCCAUUUAACCCAGCAGAGUUCCUCAACAACUUACUCACUCAGUUCACAUCUCACCACCAUAAUCGACAUGAUGAUAUGUCCGAGCUCAUGCUGCAAGUCAGCCAACACAAGUACCUCAUCAUCCUAGAGCAAGAACUAUCCAGUGUCGCCGAUUGGGAAGCCAUCAAAAUGUACCUUCCCGACGGCAACAAUGGCAGCCGGAUCAUUGUCUCAACCAAGCACUUGGCAAUUGCCCGUCUCUGCACGGGGGAACCCUUCCAAGUAUGCGAGUUUCAUUGCUUCUCUCGCGAUCAGUAUCUUUGUGCCAUUUUCCCAAAGGGUUGUGCGCAUAGGAUCGGCAUGGCUGAAUUCGUUUGGCAACUAAGACGACACCCUGGUGUUAUCUCCCUCUGCUCGCACACCUUUCGGUCCGAAAGCCAAUUAAUUGACGAACUCCACGAAGAGAGCACCGGUAAGUUGAGGGUAUUCGACGGACUGAAGUUUGAAUACCAGUACUACCACCCUGAUGACGAGCUCAACCUGGUUGAGUUUGCUAUGGGAAUACUUGAGGAAUGUUACCCAGAAGAUACACCGGAAUGUGUGUUUGAAGAGAUGUUCAGUGGGAUGGAUGACCAAGAUAAAAUUCAAAGCUGUCGUGAGUUUCUGACUCAACAUGAUUACCUCAUCUAUGUGAAACUGGAGCUCCUUAAGGACUGGGAUUUCAUCAGACAGCAUCUCUUAUGUGAGUCUACUAGAGCUUGCAUCGUUGUUAUUACAGGUAAUCAAAGUGUGGCCAAACAUUGUGUAGGCCACCAACAAUAUCUGUCGCUCAACGUCCACGAUCUGUUGAACGAGGGCUCUUCUGAUCAACAACACCAGAGCGGACAUGCCGAUGGAGGCCGAGAGAGCAUAAUAAUAAAGGAAGAGGGCGAGCAUGAACCUGAUGAGCUUGUUGGGCGUGAAGAUGAAAGCGACUUCUUCCGUGGCCAUUCUCAAUUUAUAACAGUGUCGUCUGUGUGGGGGAUCGCAGGUGUUGGGAAAUCAGCUAUCGUCAGGCCAUAUUACAACUACAUCAAACUGAACAGAGAACAUUACAGAACGUACGGGUGGGUGGAUGUGGCCCAUCCGUUCAGUUUGAUGGACAUGUGUCGGAGAUUGCUUCUGGACUUUUAUUCGGAUGAUCUUGAUGCCAAGGAAACAGCAGCAAUUGGUAUGGUGGAAGGCCAAGACCCUAUUCAAACGUGUUGCAAAAUCCUGCGUGAAAAGAAAUGCCUCCUUGUUAUUGAUGAUCUGCGGUCCACUCAUGAAUGGGACUUGAUAAAGGCAUCAUUGCUAUCCCAGGCUAAAAUUGGUUAUAGAAUUAUUGUCAUUACACGUGAAGAGAGCAUCGCCAGACAUUGUACAGUUACAAUUCAUAACAAAUACGGUAUUCUCAAUCUCAAGGGUCUAGAACCUGACAUGGCCCUUCAUCUCUUCAAAAAGAUAACUUUGGACGGCAAGCCAGAGUCUGAAUUCCCUCCCAAUGCAGAGAAGAUUUCAAAGCUUAUCACAUCCAAGUGUGGCAGCAUUCCGGAAGUAAUAGUUGCGAUAGGAAAAAUUGCCAGCCUAGGCCUAGGGAAUAUUGAGUGGUUGGAGCAUAUAAAUGUUGAUUUCAUGAGGGUACUAGACACCCCUUCAAGUUCUAGUAGUUUAAAGGGCCUAUUUUGUUGGAUGCAAUCCUAUUUUGAUGCUUGCUCAGAUGAACUCAAGCCAUGCAUUUUCUAUAUGUCCAUCUUCCCAGCCGAGCAAAGAAUUAGGCGAAGGCGUUUGCUUAGGCGGUGGAUCGCAGAGGGUUACUCCUCUUGUGGUGGUGGUGGUGGUAUUGCGGAAGAGAAGGCAGAAAAGCUCUUGGCCGACUUCAUGAAGUUGGGCAUAUUUUACAAGGGGCAGAUAUCAUCAACAACAAGAAGCUGCCAGCUCAAUGGUUUCUUUCAUGAGUACAUCAAGUCAAGGCCAAUGGAAGAUAACCUUGUGUUUGAACUACAGGGGAGUUGCGGCCCUAGCUCACGGCUCACUGGACAACACCUCACCAUAAGCAGUAGCUGGGACAGAGAUGAGAUUGUAUUCAAUAGCAUGGACUUGUCAAGGCUAAGGUCAUUGACGGUGUUUGGGAAGUGGGUGCCAUUCAUCAUCAGCUGUGACAAGAUGAAGAUGCUUCGGGUGCUUGAUCUGGAGGACACUAGUAGUAGUAGUCCACUGGAAUCAGAUGAUACUGGUGUAGUAACAGAUGAUGAUCUGGAGAUGAUCGGGAAGUUUUUGACCCGCCUCAAGUUCUUGUCCCUUCGGGGAUGCAUGCAAGUCACUCAUCUCCCUGAUUCGAUGGGUGCCAUGAGGCAGCUGGAGACCCUCGAUGUCCGACACACCAGUAUAUUUGAGCUGCCACCUGCUAUCAUCACCAAGCUACACAAGUUGCAGUACAUCCGUGCUGGCAACACUGCCACCAGAAGCCCGCUAGCACCAACACCACCACCUUCACCAACACUACCACCACUUUCACUAACACAACCAGAACCAGUAGAGCAAGUUCAUGGUGGCACUAGCCCCUUCCUAGGAGCCAAAGCAGCAGCAUUAUGUGUGACCCAGCAGGCAUCAGCUAGAAUUAAUGGAGCAUGGAAGAGCAGGGCACAUGCUUUGGUUGAAUCCAGCAACAGCAGCAGCAGCUGGUGGGAGUCCAGGAAGCAGCGGAGGAGCCGUGUUGCUGCAAAUGGCGGCGGUGUUGAGGUUGCUUGUGCUGCCGCAAAGGGGAUUGGGAAGCUGACGGAGUUGCAUACACUUGGUGUUGUGAAUAUUGCAGGUGGGAGAGGCGCCCUCCUCCUCUUCCUCAAGGCGCUCAAGAAGCUUACCCAGCUGCGCAAGCUCGGGUUGUCCGGCAUCAACCGUAAAAACUGGAAGGACUUGUGUUCGGCCAUCUCGGGUCACCUUCCUCAUCUUGAGUCCUUGUCGCUGCAACUGCUGCUGCUGGAGGAGGAUGGCAGCUAUGACUUUGCUUGUUUCGAUGACAUCUCUGAGCUGCCAAAGACCCUGAAGAGCCUUAAGGUAUUUUACACUGGUACUGGAGGUGGUGCAGGCGCAAGUCCUGCAUCCAUAAGUGCAGCCUGGAUCAAUCAGUUUCCCAAUCUCAAGAGGUUUAAUCAUGAGGUGAGGGUAUCAAGUCAAGAUGACAUGAAUAGCAUUCGACGUCGUUGCCACAAGUUUGCAAACUUAAAUUAUUCCGAGAAUGAGCUUCAUGUUCCUGGAUUCGAACGUCGUCUUGGUAUCAAGCCAAGUCAGCAGCAUAUCAGUUUUGGAGAUCAUUUCGCGAUGCUGGUUCUGGACAGCCUCGUGAUUUAUUGCAGCGGCAUAAGCUCAACGGUAACUGUUGGAAGGCCCACAACAGUACAUGUUAAAGCGGUCAGCAUUCGCUGCUGCAGCUCUUGUGGUGGAUCGUCGUGCUUGCGGAUUGAUGGGCUAGAGAGGAUACGUUACCUGAAGGAAGUCUUUGUAACGGGUCCGUGCAGCGACGGCUUCAAGGAAGAGUUGCAAAAGCAACUCAACAAGCAUCAAGGCAAACCUUCCCUGAGACUCUUGUAA